CGCGGUGGUAGCCCAACGAAGAACGCGACAUCCUGUCGCAACGUUGGACAAUGAACAUACUGUUCU
rfam:Tumebacillus algifaecis strain THMBR28 chromosome, complete genome.